GACGGAGGGUGCAAGCGUUGUCCGGAAUUAUUGGGCGUAAAGAGCUCGUAGGCGGUCAGUCGCGUCUGCUGUGAAAACCCGCAGCUUAACUGCGGGCUUGCGGUUGAUACGGGCGGGCUAGAGUUCGGUAGGGGAGACUGGAAUUCCUGGUGUAGCGGUGAAAUGCGCAGAUAUCAGGAGGAACACCGGUGGCGAAGGCGGGUCUCUGGGCCGAUACUGACGCUGAGGAGCGAAAGCGUGGGGAGCGAACAGG
rnacentral:rRNA from 1 species